rnacentral:rRNA from 1 species
AUACGGAGGAUGCGAGCGUUAUCCGGAUUUACUUGGGUUUAAAGGGUGCGUAGGCGGGCUGAUAAGUCAGUGGUGAAAGUUUGCAGCUUAACUGUAAAAUUGCCAUUGAAACUGUUAGUCUUGAGUGCAAAUGAGGUAGGCGGAAUGUGUUGUGUAGCGGUGAAAUGCUUAGAUAUAACACAGAACUCCGAUUGCGAAGGCAGCUUACGUGGGAUGCAACUGACGCCGAUG